rnacentral:rRNA from 1 species
UACGUAGGGGGCAAGCGUUGUCCGGAAUCAUUGGGCGUAAAGCGCGUGUAGGCGGCUCGAUAAGUCUGCUGUGAAAGUCCAGGGCUCAACCCUGGGAUGCCGGUGGAUACUGUCGAGCUCGAGUCCGGAAGAGGCGAGUGGAAUUCCUGGUGUAGCGGUGAAAUGCGCAGAUAUCAGGAGGAACACCAAUGGCGAAGGCAGCUCGCUGGGACGUGACUAACGCUGAGACGCGAAAGCGUGGGGAGCAAACAGG